rnacentral:tRNA from 1 species
GGGGGCUUAGCUCAGUUGGUAGAGCAUCUGCUUUGCAAGCAGAGGGUCAACGGUUCAAGUCCGUUAGCCUCCACCA